CCCCGUUUUCUUCUUCCUCUCCCCGAGCUGUCGCUCUCUCUUUCUCUCCUCUGCAACUCCGAUUGCUUUCUCUUUCCGGCCACCAAAAAGCGUGAAACCGGUGGCUACGGACUCGUCUCGACUUCCUCUUGGCGCUGGCGGUGGUGGCUCACGGCGGCUUGGCCAGAAAACGACGCAUCAAGCCUUAGAAGUUUACUGUAGCAGUUUGAGUCAACGCCGAUUUCUUCCUAUUCCGGCCACCUCCGACGACGAACCAUAAUCAUUUGGAAGCGGCUUGCGAUGUAGAUGAUGCUCCCCAAAUCUUUUGCAACGAUUUGCAGUGUAGAGGAAGAAUCGACGAUUGGAAGAUUACGGUCACUAUUCACAGUUUGAGUUCAAGCUUCUCCUUAAUUGUUGAGGGCAAUGUUGCGAGCUACGGCUAGAUGAAGGAACUCGUUUUCGUGGUCGCCAACUAGUACUUUUGCAGGCGAAUUAGUUGAGGUCGGGCGUACACGAAAUUGAGGCAUAGUCAGCAGCAUGGCUUCCGCAUCUGCCUUUGAAUUAGGUUUUCCUCAUAUACCUUUCUGUUAGAAUUGCUCUGAUUACCUAUGGGAUUUAUGUUAUUCAAGUUGAGAUAUGUGUUUUGUGAAUUGGAGAUUGAUGUUGAUUUGGGGAGCAGGGUGGCUCCAGGGGCAUAAGGAUGAUUCGAUUGAGAAGUGUAAAUGUUCCCUACAGGUUUGGGUUGCCCAUUUUAGGGGAAAUUCCGCCAAAUUUUUGGUAGAAUUUCUUCUAAGGUGGGCCCCGCAGGGUCACUUCGGAUUUCAGGGUGAAAUCCGGGGCGGGUCCUGUCAACGAGAAUCUUUCUAUAAAUUUUUUGGAGCAAACUUUGAUUGGAUUGGAAAGUGCACCAUUCAAACGGUGUAUGGGUUAAUCCUGCAGGUCAGGGAAAUCGUGGCUGAAGCUGAGGUAGCUUGUUGGCAGCAGAACAUGUAGAAAGCAAAUUUUGUUGGCUUUGCCAUUGUUAUGACUUCCGCUAUGUAGUAAGCUCUGAGGAGCAUUUACGUUUUAUUUUGUGAUGACAAUUUAAUUCGUAAGCAUAUACAACACUGUGGAGUGGGUUAAUAUUGACAUAGUGGGUUCAGGGCAUCAAUAUGUACUUGGUUUAAAAGGGAGUAAGGUUUCUAGGUAUUUUGUAUUGAUGGCUGAACGAUCACGCAUAUAUAAUUAUGAGAUUGUAUAUGGAUUUUUAUUUAUGUUAAAAAUCAGAGGCGUGACAAUGCAAAAUUCUCUAAAGGAGGGGUUUAAAUUAUUUAAUGAACAAUCCACUGAUCUUGGAGGUUUACGAGUGAAUUCUCCAACUAUUGCAGCAUCAAUGUUUCAUAACUAUUACAAGCAUCUAUUUGUCAGUCGUGUUUUUCAGAAUGUGGAUGAUUCCUGCGCGGUGUUAUAUAAGACGCUUCCCCAGAUCCCUACGUAUUUUUGGGAAUUUAUUAAAUUUCAGCAUAUGAAGUCUCCUUUUCCGUUGCUAGAUCUAAAGAUGUUGGUCAAGUUAAGGCAGGUGCAGUUCAUGGAUAUGGUCUUUGUUGAUUGCUCUGUAGAACCCAAACUGGGGGCCCCUAUUUAUGAUCUAUACGUUAAUGGACUUUCGAAAGAUAUGACAGAGCAAAUGCUCAUUGAUCAUUUCUCAAGGUUUGGAGGUGUUGUCCGUGCACUCAUCCCUCAAAAGCAGUUUUUGAAUAAAGUAGCCAAGUUGUUUUAUGGAUUUGUUGCCUAUCAUGAUAAAGACUGCCAUUUUAGCCAUACAGGCUACGCAUGAUAUGUGGUUAGAUCGGAGAAGGUUGUGGGUAAAACUAGUCAACCCUUAUCCACAUGGACUAGAAGUAGACCUAGCUUUCUGGAAUAACUAUUGUCCUCAACUUUUGGUGCAUGCUGUUCAGCAACGGUGUGUGAAACAACUUUGUGGCGCAGAUGGAGAGCUCCUCAAAAAAUUGAGAACUAUAUCUCCUGCUCUUAUUGAGCAUGUCUAUCGGCUUCACAUGGAUAAAUAUCCUGUGUUGGAGCCGAUAGACAGUGAAAUGGAGGUGAUCGUGACCGAACUGUUACGCCUGUUUGAAGGUUGUUAUCCUCUAAAUACUAUUUUUCUAUUUGGGGCACCGGUAAGUAUUGGAUAUUUUUAUUUGGGGUUUUAAAUUUUUUCGACCCAAUGAUCGAUCUUAUACCUGUUCAUCUUUUUAGGGAGUAGGAAAAUCCACUAUUUCUAAAGCUUUGGCCAUAGAGGCCAAAGCUGUGCUUUUUCAACUCUCCCCGUCUUCAAUUGUUUAAAGGUUGCUAAAUGCUCUCGGCCUCCUGUGGUCUUUUUAGAUGAAAUCGAAGCACUACUGCCAUAUGUAAUACUUGCUCUCUCUUUGUUAUACGGUUAAUAGUCUAUGGUGUCACUGUGUAUGCUUAAUACUAUUUCCACAGGUUAUCUUUAUCUUCAUUAUGAACACCGAUAGUAUCAUAAGCCCCUUGGGUAUCUUGAUUUCCUGAUGUAUCAUCUAUAUCGCCGUCCUCAUCCUCCCCUAUAUCAUCUCCAUCACCCGUUACAUGUGCAUUACCCAUUGAAAAAAGAUCGUUCAUCAUAUCAAGAAUACCUGUAUUGUGUUCAGAUGCAUCAACUGGGCUAUUCGGAAUAGUUUGACUCUGCACUUCAUUCUG